AACGAACGCUGGCGGCAGGCCUAACACAUGCAAGUCGAGCGAGAUCGUCCGGUCUAGCGGCGGAGGGGUGAGUAACGCGUGGGAAUAUGCCUCUUGGUACGGAAUCGCCUCGGGAAACUGGGAGUAAUACCGUAUGUGCCAUUUGCGGGAAAGAUUUAUCGCCAAGAGAUUAGCCCGCGUUGGAUUAGGUAGUUGGUGGGGUAAUGGCCGACCAAGCGGUCGAUCCUUGGCUGGUUGGAGAGGAUGGCCAGCCACGAUGGGAAUGAGACACGGCCCAGACUCCUACGGGAGGCAGCAGUGGGGAAUCCUAGACACGGGGGGCAACCCUGAUCUCGCCAUGCCGCGUGAGUGAUGCAGGCGUUAGGGUUGUAAAGCUCUUUGAGCUGGGAAGAGAAUGACGGUACCAGCAGAAGAAGCCCCGGCUAACUCCGUG
rnacentral:rRNA from 1 species